rnacentral:rRNA from 1 species
CCUACGGAGGUCAGCAGUGAGGAAUAUUGGUCAAUGGGCGUAAGCCUGAACCAGCCAAGUCGCGUGAGGGAUGAAGGUUCUAUGGAUCGUAAACCUCUUUUAUAAGGGAAUAAAGUGCGGGACGUGUCCCGUUUUGUAUGUACCUUAUGAAUAAGGAUCGGCUAACUACGUGCCAGCAGCCGCGGUAAUACGGAGGAUCCGAGCGUUAUCCGGGUUUAUUGGGUUUAAAGGGUGCGUAGGCGGCCUUUUAAGUCAGCGGUGAAAGUCUGUGGCUCAACCAUAGAAUUGCCGUUGAAACUGGGAGUCUUGAGUAUGUUUGAGGCAGGCGGAAUGCGUGGUGUAGCGGUGAAAUGCUUAGAUAUCACGCAGAACCCCGAUUGCGAAGGCAGCCUGCCAAGCCAUGACUGACGCUGAUGCACGAAAGCGUGGGGAUCAAACAGGAUUAGAUACCCUUGUAGUC